UUUCCGUAGGUGAACCUGCGGAAGGAUCAUUAUUGUAUAACCGAGGUGCGAGGGCUGUCGCUGACCCGAAAGGUCGUGCACGCCCGAGUGCCCGCACACACAUCCAUCUCACCCCUAUGUGCACCACCGCGUGGGUCCCCCUUUGGCUUGUUCGGAGGGGGGCUUACGUUUUCACACAAACUUUGUAUGCAGUGUAGAAUGUAUUUUUUGUUUUUGCGAUCACGCAAUCAAUACAACUUUCAACAACGGAUCUCUUGGCUCUU
rnacentral:misc_RNA from 1 species